rnacentral:rRNA from 1 species
GAUGAACGCUGGCGGCGUGCCUAAUACAUGCAAGUCGAGCGAACAGACGAGGAGCUUGCUCCUCUGACGUUAGCGGCGGACGGGUGAGUAACACGUGGAUAACCUACCUAUAAGACUGGGAUAACUUCGGGAAACCGGAGCUAAUACCGGAUAAUAUAUUGAACCGCAUGGUUCAAUAGUGAAAGACGGUUUUGCUGUCACUUAUAGAUGGAUCCGCGCCGCAUUAGCUAGUUGGUAAGGUAACGGCUUACCAAGGCGACGAUGCGUAGCCGACCUGAGAGGGUGAUAGGCGACACUGGAACUGAGACACGGUCCAGACUCCUACGGGAGGCAGCAGUAGGGAAUCGUCCGCAAUGGGCGAAAGCCUGACGGAGCGACGGCGCGUGAGUGAUGAAGAUCUUGGGAUCGUAAAACUCUGUUAGUAGGGAAGAACAAAUGUGUAAGUAACUAUGCACGUCUUGACGGUACCUGAUCAGAAAGCCACGGCUAACUACGUG